rnacentral:rRNA from 1 species
UGGGCGGUUCGCCGCCUGCGACUUCGCGAGAAUUCCACUGAACCUUAUCAUUUAGAGGAAGGAGAAGUCGUAACAAGGUUUCCGUAGGUGAACCUGCGGAAGGAUCAUUG